rnacentral:misc_RNA from 1 species
AACGCACAUUGCGCCCCCUGGUAUUCCGGGGGGCAUGCCUGUCCGAGCGUCAUUGCUGCCCAUCAAGCACGGCUUGUGUGUUGGGUCGUCGUCCCCCCCUCCGGGGGGGGACGGGCCCUAAAGGCAGCGGCGGCACCGCGUCCGAUCCUCGAGCGUAUGGGGCUUUGUCACCCGCUCUGUAGGCCCGGCCGGCGCUUGCCGAACGCAAAACAACCAUUCUUUCCAGGUUGACCUCGGAUCAGGUAGGGAUACCCGCUGAACUUAA